AUGACCCCCACGCGCCCGCCGCCGCCGCCCCUCCCUCGAACGAAACUCAUGCGACAGGCGACUCUCGCAUGCCUCCCCCUCCCCGCGUCUCACUGGCGAAGAGGGAUACGUGCCAUGCCCAGCCGCCGCCCCGUGCGGUUGAUUCCAGACGCUGGGUCGCUGUAUUGCCGUAUUGGGAAGCAGUUCGCCGCUACACCGCAUGAGGAGGGCGACGCUUGGGCCGCCGCUGAGCCAGACGAGGUCUCCGUCCGGGUCUGCUGCCAAGCUUGUGGCCGGCCACUUGGCUCGCCGCCCGUCUCACCUUACAGCAAGCACCACUAG
rnacentral:rRNA from 1 species